rnacentral:sRNA from 1 species
UGACUAGACUACAUGCAAUAGAUAAGGUUUUCAAAAGAAACACUGUGAAAUGUCAAAUAAUUUUGCAAACUAUAGAUUAUUUGCACUUAUGAAAUUAAGAAGGCGCUAAAUCCUCUAGGACCUAGGUAGAAAAUACGCACACCCAGUAUUUGCCUCCAACUCCUGAUUAGUAAUUUAAACAUUUGCCUUAUUUCCACUUGUUGCCUACUCUUUUGAAGGUAUAAUAAUUUUGAAAAAAUAAUAUUGCUAUAAGUUGACCUUCAUAGGUUUGGGUCUUAAGCACACAGAAUGACUGCCCUUUUUUUUUAGAUAAAAAAGGAUUUUUCCAGAAUGCGGUGCUGUUUGCAUUUCAGAAAUUAAUAUGCUCCCCAUUACAAUUUCUUUUUUCUUUUCUUCCUUCAAGGGAAAUGCGAGGGCCUCCUGCUUCACUCUGUAACUUGUGUUGGCAGGAGUACAGUCUGACGAAUCACACAUAUAAUCCUAAACUCUUUCUCCUGUUUUCGAUUAGCAUCUAUGGGUCUUGCAGAUAUGAUGUCUCCUGGUGAAUCCAAACUGCCCCUGCCUCUCAAAGCAGACGGCAAAGAAGAAGGCACUCCACAGCCCGAGAGCAAGUCAAAGGUACUUCCUUCGCCUCUGCACGCGGUGUGGGGUCUGCCUAGCAAAAAGCUGCCAUGUCGUUCUCUCUUCACUGGUGUUGGCCGACACUUUUUUUUCAUUUGGUCUCCUCUGCAUGCCUUCAUUUUGUGCAACAUGUUUGUAGUCUUCUUUUCUUUCCCCAGCCCCUUCAUGGUGUGGAUCUGAAAGUUACUAGUUCUUAUGGCAUUAACUCACG